rnacentral:rRNA from 1 species
GAUGAACGCUGGCGGCGUGCCUAAUACAUGCAAGUCGAGCGAACGGACGAGAAGCUUGCUUCUCUGAUGUUAGCGGCGGACGGGUGAGUAACACGUGGAUAACCUACCUAUAAGACUGGGAUAACUUCGGGAAACCGGAGCUAAUACCGGAUAAUAUUUUGAACCGCAUGGUUCAAAAGUGAAAGACGGUCUUGCUGUCACUUAUAGAUGGAUCCGCGCUGCAUUAGCUAGUUGGUAAGGUAACGGCUUACCAAGGCAACGAUGCAUAGCCGACCUGAGAGGGGGGUCGGGCAAACUUGAAAUGGGACACGGGCCAGACUCCUACGGGAGGCAGAAGGAGGGAAUCUUUCGCAAUGGGGGAAAGGCUGAAGGAGCAAAGCCGCGGGAGGGAUGAAGGUCUUCGGAUUGUAAAACUCUGUUAUUAGGGAAGAAAAAAUGUGUAAGUAACUAGGCACGUCUUGACGGGACCUAAACAGAAAGCCACGGCUAACCACGGG